rnacentral:rRNA from 1 species
UACAGAGGGUGCAAGCGUUAAUCGGAAUUACUGGGCGUAAAGCGUGCGUAGACGGUUAUUUAAGUCAGGUGUGAAAGCCCCGGGCUCAACCUGGGAAUUGCAUUUGAGACUGAAUAGCUAGGGUGCGGAAGAGGGAAGCGGAAUUUCCGGUGUAGCGGUGAAAUGCGUAGAUAUCGGAAGGAACACCGGUGGCGAAAGCGCUCUGCUGGACCUUAACUGACACUGAGGGACGAAAGCUAGGGGAGCGAAUGGG